rnacentral:lncRNA from 1 species
ACCUCAUCCCAUCCCAAAACCGCCCACCGUUAAACCACCACCCUCCACACCCAAACCGCCCACAAAACCACCCACCGUUAAACCACCUCCAUCCACCCCUAAGCCGCCCACCAAACCACCCACCGUCAAACCACCACCCUCCACCCCAAAACCGCCCACCAAGCCACCCACCGUCAAACCACCUCCGUCCACCCCUAAACCACCUACCCACAAGCCACCAACAGUGUGCCCACCGCCAACACCAACACCAACCCCACCUGUUGUAACGCCACCAACACCACCAACACCAACUCCACCAGUCGUUACGCCACCAACACCAGCCCCACCUGUUGUAACGCCACCAACACCAACACCACCGGUCGUAACGCCACCGACACCAACCCCUCCUGUCGUAACACCUCCAACACCACCGGUCGUAACGCCACCGACACCAACUCCUCCUGUCGUAACACCACCAACACCACCGGUCGUAACGCCACCGACACCAACCCCUCCUGUCGUAACACCUCCAACACCACCGGUCGUAACGCCACCGACACCAACCCCUCCUGUCGUAACACCACCAACACCAACUCCACCUAAGCCAGAAACGUGCCCAAUCGACACGUUGAAGCUAGGCGCUUGUGUAGACGUUCUUGGAGGUUUAAUUCACAUCGGGCUUGGUGGAAGUAGCGCCAAGAAAGAGUGUUGUCCGGUUUUGGGAGG